rnacentral:rRNA from 1 species
UGGGGAAUAUUGCACAAUGGGCGCAAGCCUGAUGCAGCCAUGCCGCGUAGUGUGAAGAAGGCCUUCGGGUUGUAAAGCACUUUCAGCGAGGAGGAAGGGUUCAGUGUUAAUAGCACUGUGCAUUGACGUUACUCGCAGAAGAAGCACCGGCUAACUCCGUGCCAGCAGCCGCGGUAAUACGGAGGGUGCAAGCGUUAAUCGGAAUUAACUGGGCGUAAAGCGCACGCAGGCGGUUUGUUAAGUCAGAUGUGAAAUCCCGCGC